ACCUUCUAUGGUGUAGUUGGUAGCGCCUCGGCACAGUAAUAAUGUGGCCUAGGUUCAAAUCCUGGUCGGGGUA